rnacentral:rRNA from 1 species
AUCUUCCCUCUCCUUGUAUAUUUAUUAUAUAUAAACACAGGUGUCACAUGGGUGUCUAUAGUUCGUGUUGUGAAAUGUAAGGUUUAUUCCGAUAGCGAACGCCCCCCUUAUCUUUAAUUAAUAUAUACACAUAUAUAUAUACUUAAAGAAAUAUCUUUCAAUAAGAAGGAGUAAUUAGGAUGAAGACAAGUCCUCAUGACCCUAAUGGAGUGGGCUACAGACGUGCCACAAAGAUUUUUACAAUAGGAAGCAAAGAUGAAAGUCAGAGCAAAU